UUCCUGUCAUUCCUGUAUUUUGAAUUGAAUAAACCAAAAAAUAGAUGAAAUUUUUGUCUUGUUUAUAAAUAAAAAUAAGUGAUUACUGAUAGGAAUGUAACACAAUCGUAUCCAUUUAACAUAUUUCAUUCAUGGGUUAACAGGUCAACAAGUUUUUUACGUAAAAAUCUAGGUUAAUGUUUUCUGUAGUUUGAUCAAUAACUUCCUUGACUAUCCUAUUCCAAAGUAAACUUCAUAAAUUUCUGGUAAACACACCCUGGAAUUACGUCAACAUGUGAAAAAUAGGGCAAAUAUGUAUAUUUGAUUCAUAUUCCACACCCACAUAGGUCAGAAAAUUGUUUAACUCUGGAUACUCUUGUCCCGAUUUUGUGCAACCAUUCCUGUAAACCGAACUCGAGGAAUUAAAGAUGGUACGUGUAAUUUCAGUUCAUCAUUUUGCAAACCAACAUAUCCAAGUCAUUGAACAACCCACGGCGUGUACUGUUGCACCUCCGAAUAGACUGCUUUCGGCUUUGAUGAGCAAUUGCGUGGAAGUCAGAGAUCUGAGUAAUGAAUCUGAAGUUUUGUUUUCUUUUCCGACUGUAGACGAGGUUGUCCAAAUUGUACAUUGUAUAAAUGGAGAUUAUGUGGCAACAUUGGAAACUAAAUUCAACCGUCAAAACAAGGAAAUCAACUUCGUGCGUGUCUACAUCAACUGGGAUAGCAUUGCCACACUUCAACAAUCUAAGAUGACAAGCAGUGGUGUCAGUCUUGGGUCAUCUGAGUGUGGUAUGGUUCAACCUAUGAGAGCAAGAAUAGCAGGUCGUGUCACCCCCACCACUAAUCAAUCAGAGCUGGGAAGUUUGGAAAUGAUAGAAGUGCCUGUUCGAAGAAAUCCCAAUUUUGUUGAAUGUUGCCAAAUAUCUGGAAACCUCCUGAUCUUGUCAGAAAAGAUCAUAAAUAUAUACGCAUUUAAAAUAAAGGCACACGAUAUUUCCAAAAUGAGGUUUGUGGAUUUUGAGGAACUGCCAUUGUUGAUUGAACUGUCUUUUGCUCCUUACCACGUAGCAUUUUGUGAAAACUAUAUUGCUUGUAUGAGUAAAGACACAUUCCAUCUUUUUAAAGUGUAUGAGGCUGUCAAAAGGGAAACCAGCGAGUUGAACCUUUCUGGCCAAAAUGACUUCACUUUUGUAUAUGGUAACAAUAGUGGCCCGGUUGAUUAUAAGAAAUUAUUAAGAGAGGAAAUGUUGAGUAACAAAGAAAAAGUUACAGUCAAUUUACCAACAAUAGUUAAAGAGAACAGUAUCAUUCAUAAAAGCAGUCCCUUUACGUUCAGCGAUAGAGAUAUUUCAGCAAUAGUUAGACCAAAUUGUAUUCUAGACAAUAAAAACACGCAGUAUAGAAUAGAUAACUUAAUUCAGCUAAGGCUUAUGCCCAUCUUAAUAGAAAGUGCCCAAAGACAAGUUGCAGAAGAAUUCAAAAGCAUGGUUAUGAAACCUAUCUACAUCGAUCACACUUUGAAUGGCAAAAAAGAUAACCCGGAGAAAAGGUUUCUACGUAGUGACUAUGAUAAGUGUUUGAACAGUGUCGUGUGCAUUAUAGCUACGCAACAAGAAGGAUAUUUAUAUAAUUUUGAUGAUAAAGAAGCUUGCACCGAUAAAGACAACUGCCUGGCUGUGUAUCCGUUUACGGCACCAGUUUUUAAAUUAGUCAUGGAAGAAUAUUUUUUGCACGCGUUAACAGAAACAGGCUUAGAGUCGUACACUUUGAGAUAUGGGCAUCAGAUGUGUAGAAAUAUUGAAGUUAUCGAUAAUAUAAAUGUGGCAUGUCCACCAGUGUCGGAAUCCAUCUGUUUGGUGGGCCUAAGACCUUUUCUAGGCGUAGAACAAAUCCUCCUGACCGAAAAUCACAUGGUUUUGUUGGCAAAUUCGGAAACAUCACCUGCGCAUUCGGCAAGUUCUAAUAGUAGUUCAAAUGCAUCGUUUUUGACGCUGUACAACCUGGAGCUACCUUCACCGAGGAUGAUUUUCAAUGACAUUUCCAUCGUGGCCAACGUUCACAGGUUUACUUCGGUUCAAACUUACUGUCAUUUAAUGAGCGAGGCCCAUAUGGUCCUAAGAGUGGUACUUCUUUUGAAGAAAUGGAUAAUGACAGAUGAUAAUGUAAAGUUGGCAAUAUGUAGGAAAUAUAAUAAAGAUGACGUUGUAGAAACGUAUCGAACGUCUUGUGCUCUAUUAGGGGAUCAUUUCAUUAUGUGUAAUUACGAGGAUGAUUAUAUUCUGGCGGUUCCCUAUUAUAAAAUGGCCAGAGUAAUAUUAGGGGAAGUUUUAGUGAGGGUAAAAAAACUACAGGAACAAUCCGGAAAUCAAUUUAAGAAAGGACUGAUGUACUACUUGAAGAAAACACUAUAUUACGUAAAACCUGGUCCAGAUGCGGACAAAAUUUUCGGUUCCAGUUCAAAGCAGAAUUUGUCGGAAUCAAUCAUGGAUUACUUAGAACAUCACGCUUGUGAAGAUGUUCCGAACUUGAUUUUGAGAAGUAAAAUAUUUAGAGAGUAUUCCACGGAUAAGUUAAUCCAUAUAUUAACUGAAAAAAUAUCUGAGAAUUUUGGCGUUUCGGCGGAAAAACACCUUGCACUGACGCUCCUUUAUAUUCAGAAAUGCAAUACUACGAUGGCACAAGACCACUUGGACAAAAUCACCAGAGAAAACCUGCGCCUUCUUAUUUUGGAAAAUUACGAUCUCCUCUUCGAAACCACGUACCCCCCGCAACAUAAAAAUAAGUCAGUCACGACAUUUUCGGAAUUGACGAUACUGCUUAUUAGCAUUUGCCCGGAAUUACUCUCUUCGGUUUUUGUGAAUCUCAUGAUGGACAAGAAAGUUAUAAAUUUAAACAAAAUAAUCAAAGUGUUCCUGGAGUAUCUACCCUCCAGCAUAGGCAGCGAUAGUAAUUGUGCAAGUUUGCUGUUACAGAAAACUUUGGAAACAUAUUUCGAAAGAUAUUUUUCGAAACCGGAAAAUAUCGACCUAAGUAAAAUCAUUUACGAAAGAGGCGCUAGCGAGGCGAUGAAACUUUUGGUCAGAUCGUACCUCUCCCAGCUACAAAUUCUGCAAUUGAGAGAUGAGAAUAGUAGAGAUGGCAAGAAUAUUAGUUCAAACAAGCCCGACGAGAAAGACAUAUUCGAGGACGAAAACGAUGACACCAACAAAGAUCGCCACCAAGAGAAACUGGGGUACAACAGAAUAAACAAAACCUACUUCGAGGAACAAGCAAAGAAACCGAAGGACUGUUACUUGUUUUCCAGUCUGCGCUGGAAAUAUUUAGACAGAAUGCCUCCUUUUCAAAUCGAAAUCAAUUCCAAGCUGUACGAAGCUUGCAUCGAAAAUUAUCCUGUCAAAGAGGAAUGGCCGAUAAACGAAGAAGCUGAUGUUAUAUUGAAAAAGUUGCAGGCUCUGUUGUGCAGCCAAGUGGUACCGAAACAAGUUAUAUCUGAGGUCAAUGGAUAUCUCUCUGUCAACGAAACAUUAAGAGGGAACAUAAGUUUGCAGUCUAUAACGAUGUUAACAAAUGAUGCAACUUUACUACUGAUAGAUACCUGUCCUCAGUGUCUUCUACAAUUCGGCAAGGAUAGAUUUACUAGAACCGACGAAUGGAAGUUUCUGGUAGCAACAGUACAAAGGAGGAUACUAAGAAUUUCUCAGAAUGAGAAACUGAAAAGGGUGUGUUACUUCCAUAAGAGAAUUUUAAAAGAUAUUUUGACUUACGUCGCCUCCAACAUGACCUUGGAUCAACUGGUCCAAGUAUUUCCACAACGAUUCAGUACUAGCAACCAAGAAUCCUCCGAAUUAUCGCCCAAAUCGAGACUUUCCAUCGACAAAUCGGAAUUUCUUACAACGGACGACGAUAUAACGGAUACUCUAAAGGAAAUUCAAAAUUACGAACCCUUCAUCGUUAUUUGCAAGGAAACAAUGCACGCUAAUCAAAUUAAUAAAUUAAUAACUACCACCGGUCAACAGUUAUUAUGUACGUUGAAUCUCUAAGUACAGAUGAACAGAUUUAACUAAAACCCUCAAGGUCACUUGCACCGCAUUAACGAACGUCUGUCGUGACUUAUCUUGGCGGUUGCAGAUAAAUCGGUUUUACUGUAUACAAAAUUUGUUCAAAUAGGAAUAGUCCAAUUUUAUAGACCUCAGUCCAAUUUUAUGUGAUUCUGUAUCAAAAUUAAAAAAUAUUUAUGAGAAGAUGACAAAAGAAAGAUUAUUUAAAGAAGUGAAUAUCUGAUAUGAGAUUAUUUAAUGGAUUCAAAUUUUAUAUUCAGAUUCUGAGAUUAUUUAAUGAAUAUAUAAGAAAUAUGGUUGAACUUUUUGAUAUAUUUUUAUUGUAGUUGUAGAUGCUUUUAUUAUUGUGAUAUUACUUUUAAUAAAUUAUAUAAUAAAUGUUUUUAGUAAAA
rnacentral:misc_RNA from 1 species